AUGUGGACGGUGUUUCCAGCGGUCCCAGCAGCUAUGAUGGGACGUGGAGCAGCGCCUCUCCCCGUCGGUCUGUUUUUUGUUACAUGUCUGUCUGUCUGCCCAUCUGUCUCUCUGUCUGUCCACCACCUGUCCCUCGCACCAGCCCCGGGCGGCCCACUCAGGGCACGACGCGCCCCCAGGACCUCUGAGGGGACCCACCGGGGCAACGCAUCCUCCGUCUCUAAGCCCAUCUCUCUCCAUCCUACCUCAAGAGGUGCCACUUUCAACACGACAGCAAGUGCAGGCGUGGGUGUGGGCGGCCAGGUGCGGGGGGGCGGGGGGAGGCGGUGGUCGGCGGGAUUUGCAAAGCCCAUCAGCACAGUAAAGGCUCUGAGAAGUCCUGCCAGGAAGAAGCCUGUUUAACUUUGUGGAACACUGGUAUUUUCCGAACUCUACUGGCACGGGAAGCCCCCACCUUUUUGUAUUUUUUGGAUGACACCUGUGAAUGUUUGGCAGCACCGCUUAUCCACGGAGCACGCUCUAGGAGCCGCAGACCAUAGAGCACGCCUUCUCCAGGAUCAUUUGAGCUGCAGAAAAGACCAGAGCUCAGUCUUCACUCUCCAAUUCAUCUAUUGAUUUAUUGAGCAUGCAUUCAUUCCUUCCUUCAUCAUUCAUUCGUCCACACUGGGUUGGGAGGCCAGGCGCAUCUGCUUUUCCCAGCUUCCUGGAUGGCAGGGAAGAGAGGCGACGCUCACAGGCUCUGGAAUAGAAGACGGAGGCACCGCCAAUGUCAUCGUGCUCCCACACAUCAAAGGAGCAACUCCCAGAGGUGCUUUUUGAAGAUAAUGAGGGGGCAGACGAUUUCGCAAGUCCACCACAAAGGGCCAAAAUCUAGACAGUCAGGAAGGAGCUAGAAGGAGAGGGCAAGAGGCCCAAGCAGAGCCUGGGAAGGCCGCUUGUCAUCCGCCGCGCUGUCCCCGUGGAGCUUCGGCGGAGAGCCGGCUCUGUGCCUGGCCCUGUGCUGAGCUGUGCACGUGCCUCACCCACUCAGCAAACAUCUAGAAGGUGCUUCUCACGGGCCAUGUGCUGGGGAUGGUGUGGCGAGCACGACUGAGCUCCCCUCAGAACAAGCCGGGCAGAGAGAAUGUCCCCCAAGAGCCACAGGGAGGUGCGUGGCUGCCGAGGGCGUGGCUCAGAGGCUUGCUCAAAGCCACAAAGCUGGAAGAAGGCCAAGCAGGGGGGUCCGGGGUAGGACCCCUGCCUCCCAAGUCAUUUCCCUGCUGGACUAGGAGGCAAAGGGACAACAAGCUUAAAACAGAACCAAUCCUAUUAGAAAAUCAGCGAUAUGCCCGGGAAGGAGCCGCGUUGGCAGAGAGUGCGCUGAACGCUCAUGAUGGAUGCGAAGGUGCAAAGGUACAGGCGG
rnacentral:lncRNA from 12 species